AUUGAACGCUGGCGGUAUGCUUAACACAUGCAAGUCGAACGAUGAGAAAGAGCUUGCUCUUUCGAUUAGUGGCGGACGGGUGCGUAACGCGUAGGAAUCUACCUAUUAGUGGGGGACAACUUAGGGAAACUUAAGCUAAUACCGCAUACGCCCUACGGGGGAAAGAAGGGGAUCGCAAGACCUUUUGCUAAUAGAUGAGCCUGCGUUGGAUUAGCUAGUUGGUGGGGUAAAAGCUCACCAAGGCGACGAUCCUUAACUGGUUUGAGAGAAUGAUCAGUCACACUGGAACUGAGACACGGUCCAGACUCCUACGGGAGGCAGCAGUGGAGAAUAUUGGACAAUGGGCGAAAGCCUGAUCCAGCAAUACCGCGUGUGUGAAGAAGGCCUUAGGGUUGUAAAGCACUUUCAAUUGGAAGGAAAACCUCGAAGCUAAUACCUUCGAGUUUGACAUUACCUUUAGAAGAAGCACCGGCUAACUCCGUGCCAGCAGCCGCCGCCG
rnacentral:rRNA from 1 species